CAUGAAUCGAAGACGAGAAGAGUAGGAUAGGACCUUGUACUACAGAGAGUCGACAUUUGGUGGGAGUCGAUGGCAGGACUAUUUGAAGAUCAUCUCCGAGAUGCGUAGCUGAAGAGACUAAGUAAGCUAGGCCGGCCAAGUCCGCCGUUACAACGGAACACGUACAAGUCAAACGUACGUCAAUCGAGAGCCGCAGUCAUUUAGGUGCUGCGGAAGUAGGGUGGUAUCGCGAGUAAACUCGUCCCUAUA
rnacentral:ncRNA from 1 species